GAGCCAUCACCUAUAUGGAAACAGCUCCUCCCCAAGGACCCCUAAUAUGAAUUCACAUCACCAGUGGCCCCUGACACAGCCCGCCUUGGGCCAGGUUUUGUUUAUAUUUCAAGGAAGAGAGAUUUCUUCUGAUGAUAUAAAAAAUAUAAACAAAAAUGAUCUUUUUAAGAUGUAUUUUAUUAUUUUAUAUGUAUGCAUGGUCUCUGGCCUACAUAUAUGUCUGUGUACUACAUGCUUGCCUGGUACCCACAGAGCCCAGAAGGGGGCAUUAGGUCCUCUGGGACUAGAGCUAAAGACAGUUGUGAACCACCACGUGGGUGUUGGGAAUUGGACCUGGGUCCUCUGUGAAAGCAGCCAGUGUAGUGUGGCUUCAUAGGCAUGUGUGUAGGCAAAAGGGCCAUGCACAUGAAAAUAAAAUCAAUAAAAUUCUAAAGAC
rnacentral:lncRNA from 1 species